UACGGUUUUCAUCUAUAACUAGUUCGUCUCGAUAAUCAUUCCUAAAGUAAUCACAAUCAGUUGUCCAUCUAAAUCGUCACUUUCAACAUCGAAUCACCAUCUAUUCAACGAAAACAAUGGUGUUGAAACAUAGCGCGCAUCUUUAUCAGGAGUGGCAAAUGCUUCCCAUGACGCUAAAGACAUUGAAAAACCCUAUGUUUACAGAGAACGACAACAAAAGUCUCAGGUUGAUUUACAUAUUUAGGGGUUGCGGUAAUCAUUUUUUUUUGUGAAAAUUAGGGUUUUGUAUAAGUAUCAAAUCAUUGUGUUGUUAAUUUUGGUGUGUAGGAUGCUAUCAUUAUAUUUAAUUAAAUGUUUCUUCUGUUUGUGUUGCAGCGAAUUUUCAAGCUCUCUGCACAUGUAACUUAUGUUUCGGAUAUUAGUAGAUUUGUAGAAUGUGAGAUACACAUACAUGAAGUUGUUUUAAUUCUAGAAUCUAACUUUAUAUUGGGAUUAGGUGAAUUUGGCACGUGUGUUGGUGGAAAACCCUUACAUUACAAGGGAACACCAUUCCAUUGUAUCAUACUUACCCAGGUACAUGAUUCAAGGUGUCGAUGGGAUGGUAAUCGAACCCGAACCCGAUGGGUAAACCCGAAACCCGACACAUUUGGGAUGGCUUUGGGGUUGGUUAAUCGGGUUUGGGAAUAGUUUUUAUUUUUUUCGCGGGUUUGGGAUGGGUUUGGGAUUUGGUGAUAAGCCCGUUUACCCGAUAAAGUGUACCCAUUUACCCGAAUGUAUACCCGAUAUAAUUUCUUUAAUAUUAUUAAAUAUGCAUAUAUAUAAUACAUUCAUUUUUUAUACAUAUAGGUAUUUUAUUCCGUAUACAUUGUAGUUAUUUGAUAUAUUUUUAUUGUGAUAAUACUAAAUGUAACCGAUUAGUAAUGGUACCCGAUAGAUACCCGAUGGGUUUUGGGUUGGGUAUACCCAACGGGUUAUCUAUUUGAGUUAACGGGUUAAGCCGAAACCUGCGGGUAUACCCGAUACCCGAUGGGUAUUUACCCGCUAGAAACGCGACGGGUUUUGGGACGGGUUUGGGAUAAGCUUAUCUAAUCGGGUUUGGGGUUGGGAUUACCUAAAGCCGUCCCAAACCCGACCAUUAAUGAGAGAUGUAAUUAAUCCAAAUCAUUCACCAAACUAUUAGACCUAUGCAUGUUAACAGCAAUUAUGUAAUAUAAUAAAGUCACAUUUGAUGGCAAUCGUAUUACGAUUAUACAAUAACUAUUAUAUACAUCAUUGGAUAGCUCUAUAAAUAGGGAUUAUGUGAUAUGGUUAUGUAUGCUUAUUUGACACCCCCUGCAUAAUUGUUUACUCGGCUUGUACUCAAGCAAGACAUUUACUCGCACAUGUACUUACUGCUAGAAUUUUUUGUUCGUGACUGACACCAUUAUCCAUUAUUACCUUUCUAGAGUUUUUAUAGAAUAUCUUUGAAUCUGUAUUAUGUUUUCAAAGUGUUGCUGCAAGGCUGGCACAAGAAAUGAACUUGGGGAGGGAGUUGGUUAUAGAAUUUGGUUUGAAGAUGUGAUAAAUUCAAUGAUUUUAAGUUCAAAUAAUCUUAACAUGUAUAAACCAAAAAAAAUAUUAAAAAAUUGAAGAAACCAAGUUUGCACUGUGGAUUUUACUUUGAUGCUAUGAAGGUCAAGAGUGUCUAUAUUUAUCCUUUAGUUAGUGUAGGACUUGACAAGAGUUUUUCAUAGUUGGAGUGUUAAGGGAAAUGAUGGAUGAUCCUCUCCUUAGAAAAAACAUGCAAGUAUUUUAAGCAACUUAUGUUUAUUUUCUUAAUGAUUGACUUUUUAGAUGCAACCGAUUUGCACUUAAUUAUUGCUUCAGUCACAACUGAAGCCCAUGGCUGCAUUUUUUCCAAACCAGGUUCUCUAAUUAGAACAGUGACUUAAUUUAAUGGUUAAGCUCUAUUAAUUAAUUACUUCGAUCAAGAAUUACGGCUAAUGUAUUGCAACUUUGUAUAUUCAUUAGAAAAAAGGAGCCUUGAUUGGUUGGAGAAGAUAGUGGGUUGCAGACAAAAUUUACAAUUUCGUCUGUUGAGGUAUGUUGUAGGAAAAUCCAACGAUAUUAUACAAUAAAACAUAUAAGUUAACCUCUGUGCAGUCAAUCUCGGCGAUAUAUCGGUUAUCGGACCUGGGCCAAAAUAUCUGUUUAAAAUAUCGGAUAUAAUAUCGGUAGCAAGAAUAUCGGCGAUAUAUACCGAGAUAUCGCCGAUAUUUUGUGAUUCUUAUAUCGGUCGUAUCGGCGAGAAUAUCGGUAGGCCCAUUUCAUUUAUGUUAUUUUUUGCCCAAAUAUUGUAACCUUAAUCUGUGAAUCAUACUAUCUUUGUAUCGCACACCAUUCACACGAGAAUGCUGAAACCCUAAUUGUCCCUCCCAAGCUGUUGCGCUACUCUUUCAAGAGUGAUGUCAAUUUAUGAUAAAGAGCCAAAUGGGGAUAUUGAUAUACUUGUCUUUUUAACCGGUGAAGAUGAUAUUGAUACUGCAGUUCGGUUAAUCAGAGAAGAAGCCCAAAACAGUGACAAGUUUUCUUUAGUCUCCGAAUAAGGAUGCGCAUACGUUCGUCAGAUGGUUGCAAGUUGUUCAUAUUCAAAAAAAAGUGGAGAAUCCUUAAGCAACGGUUGAAGGUUUCCUUGAACCAGUCCACCACGCAAUGGGACUAUGCUCUCUUUUCUCAGUCCAUAAUGGUUGAAAAGAUGUGAAAAUCAGAUUCACCUCCUCACACCAGUCCAUAUAAAAGAUAUCUAGAAGUUAUAAUGUUACAGGUGAAUAAGAGACGAAUAUAUGAUAUAACAAAUGUUCUUGAAGGCAUUUACUUCAAAAGCAUCCAGUUAAACUGACACCUACACUUCUGUUUGAUAUGUUCAUUUAUGUCGAAACUUAGAAGACCAGCAGUCCUAGAGGUGAAACUCUUGAUGUGAAAAACUCAAUCGUAGGGACCAAUUAGAAUGGUGAUGAGAGACAAGUCAAGGAGCCACCGACUUAACGAGCCAAGCACAACAUGAUCAUCGCCAGCUGCCACUAUUCUCCAAAUCUGGAAAAGUUAGUUGGGAGUUUAUCACAUCAAGUGGAGAGAAUUGACACUUAGAAGUGUGCAAUUCAAGUUGAUUAUGAAAUAUAUUGUUGAAUGGACCUGUGUCAAUUGUAAGCUAUUGAUUUUGUUUAUAUUCAAAGUUUUUUUUUUCA